rnacentral:misc_RNA from 1 species
GCCCAUCCACGCUCGGCUGCCUUCCCAUGUCCCCCCUCGUGGUGGUCAUGAGCGCUGGCCCGAUGCGGACAUUGGCCCUCCGAACCGCGAGGCGCGGUGGGUCUAAGUGUGCGGCCGUCGUAUGUGGCCGGGAGCGGCGAGUGGUGGGCUACUGCGCACGCCACCCCGAGCCCCAUGCCGACAGAGGGCUUUGUUUGACCCCCUAACGAGGAGCAUGCCGUCGCGGCUUCACGCCGUGCGGCAUCUUCGGACC